rnacentral:rRNA from 1 species
GAUGAACGCUGGCGGCGUGCCUAAUACAUGCAAGUCGAACGGAGUAUAUAAGCAAUUGUAUACUUAGUGGCGAACGGGUGAGUAACGCGUUGGUGACCUGCCCCGAAGCGGGGGACAACAGUUCGAAAGGGCUGCUAAUACCCCAUGUAGUUGAGAGAGACUAGAAACUUUCAACUAAAGGAGUAAUCCACUUCGGGAGGGGCCUGCGUCCCAUCAGCUAGUCGGUAGGGUAACAGCCUACCAAGGCUAAGACGGGUAGGGGACCUGAGAGGGUGGCCCCCCACAAUGGAACUGAAACACGGUCCAUACACCUACGGGUGGCAGCAGUAGGGAAUAUUGCACCAUGGGCGAAAGCCUGAUGCAGCAACGCCGCGUGAGUGAUG